GUAGCUAAUCGUGAGCUAACGGCUGUGAAGCUAACCGCCAGUAGCUAAUCGUUAGCUAACAGUAAGCUAACCGCCAGUAGCUAAUCAUUAGCUAACAGUAAGCUAACCUCCAGUAGCUAAUCGUGAGCUAACAGUAAGCUAUCUCCAACUGCCUUCAUCCAAGAAGCAAACUACGUUACGAGACAGCUUGUAGGAGAUUUCAUCAAACAACCGAGGCCUCAGAGGGUGAGGGGACGUGACCAGCAGAAAAUGGAUGGAGAGACACGAGGAGCAUCUACAAUGGUGGACACUGACAGGAGUUCACCUCUCAAAGGAAGAGAUGAGCAGCCUGUUGGCGUGUGUGAGCGAGGACUCGGACAGGACAUCGAUGGGAGUCGAGGCGUCGAUCAUUCUUUCAGCCGAUGUGAUGCGACUGGGCCCAGUGCUGCUGAUGGGAGGAGUGGUUGGACACCAGCGGCCCACAAUCCUCUGCUCUGCUUCAGAUGAGGCUGUGAGCUAAUCAUCUCCGU